GAUGAACGCUGGCGGCGUGCUUAACACAUGCAAGUCGAACGGAAAGGCCCAAGCUUGCUUGGGUACUCGAGUGGCGAACGGGUGAGUAACACGUGGGUGAUCUGCCCCGCACUUCGGGAUAAGCCUGGGAAACUGGGUCUAAUACCGGAUAGGACCACUUCUUGGAGGUUGUGGUGGAAAGUUUUUUCGGUGUGGGAUGAGCUCGCGGCCUAUCAGCUUGUUGGUGGGGUAAUGGCCUACCAAGGCGUCGACGGGUAGCCGGCCUGAGAGGGUGUACGGCCACAUUGGGACUGAGAUACGGCCCAGACUCCUACGGGAGGCAGCAGUGGGGAAUAUUGCACAAUGGGCGCAAGCCUGAUGCAGCGACGCCGCGUGGGGGAUGACGGCCUUCGGGUUGUAAACUCCUUUCGCUAGGGACGAAGCGCAAGUGACGGUACCUAGAGAAGAAGCACCGGCUAACUACGU
rnacentral:rRNA from 1 species